rnacentral:rRNA from 1 species
UGGGGAAUAUUGCACAAUGGAGGGAACUCUGAUGCAGCGACGCCGCGUGAGUGAUGAAGGACUUCGUUUCGUAAAACUCUGUUCUAUGGGAAGAAAAGGACUGUACCAUAGGAGAAAGCUCCGGCUAAAUACGUGCCAGCAGCCGCGGUAAUACGUAUGGAGCGAGCGUUGUCCGGAAUUAUUGGGCGUAAAGGGUGCGCAGGCGGCUUUACAAGUUGGAUGUGAAAUAUUGUGGCUCAACCACAAACGUGCAUCCAAAACUGCAAAGCUUGAGUUAAGGAGAGGUAAGUGGAAUUCCUGGUGUAGCGGUGGAAUGCGUAGAUAUCAGGAGGAAUACCGGUGGCGAAGGCGACUUACUGGACUUAAACUGACGCUCAGGCACGAAAGCGUGGGGAGCAAACAGGA